rnacentral:rRNA from 1 species
CCUCCGGGGGGCAGCAGUGGGGAAUCUUGCACAAUGGGCGCAAGCCUGAUGCAGCCAUGCCGCGUGUAUGAAGAAGGCCUUCGGGUUGUAAAGUACUUUCAGUCGUGAGGAAGGUGUUAAGGUUAAUAACCUUAGCAAUUGACGUUAGCGACAGAAGAAGCACCGGCUAACUCCGUGCCAGCGGCCGCGGUAAUACGGAGGGUGCGAGCGUUAAUCGGAAUUACUGGGCGUAAAGGGCAGGCAGGCGGUUAAUUAAGUUGGUUGUGAACACCCCGGGCUUAACCUGGGAAUGGCAUUCAAGACUGGUUAGCUAGAGUAUUGUAGAGGGGGGUAGAAUUCCAUGUGUGGCGGUGAAAUGCGUAGAGAUGUGGAGGAAUAACGGUGGCGAAGGCGGCCCUCUGGACAAAGACUGACGCGCAGGAGCGAGAGCGUGGGGAGCAAACAGGAUUAGAUACCCUUGUAGUA